GGUUAAGCGACUAAGCGUACACGGUGGAUGCCCUGGCAGUCAGAGGCGAUGAAGGGCGUGCUAAUCUGCGAUAAGCGCCGGUAAGGUGAUAUGAACCGUUAUAACCGGCGAUACCCGAAUGGGGAAACCCAGUGUGAUUCGUCACACUAUCAUUAACUGAAUCCAUAGGUUAAUGAGGCGAACCGGGGGAACUGAAACAUCUAAGUACCCCGAGGAAAAGAAAUCAACCGAGAUUCCCCCAGUAGCGGCGAGCGAACGGGGAGGAGCCCAGAGCCUGAAUCAGCAUGUGUGUUAGUGGAAGCGUCUGGAAAGGCGCGCGAUACAGGGUGACAGCCCCGUACACAAAAGCGCAUGUGCUGUGAGCUCGAUGAGUAGGGCGGGACACGUGGUAUCCUGUCUGAAUAUGGGGGGACCAUCCUCCAAGGCUAAAUACUCCUGACUGACCGAUAGUGAACCAGUACCGUGAGGGAAAGGCGAAAAGAACCCCGGCGAGGGGAGUGAAAAAGAACCUGAAACCGUGUACGUACAAGCAGUGGGAGCACAGGUUUACCUGUGUGACUGCGUACCUUUUGUAUAAUGGGUCAGCGACUUAUAUUCUGUAGCAAGGUUAACCGUAUAGGGGAGCCGGAGGGAAACCGAGUCUUAACCGGGCGUUAAGUUGCAGGGUAUAGACCCGAAACCCGGUGAUCUAGCCAUGGGCAGGUUGAAGGUUGGGUAACACUAACUGGAGGACCGAACCGACUAAUGUUGAAAAAUUAGCGGAUGACCUGUGGCUGGGGGUGAAAGGCCAAUCAAACCGGGAGAUAGCUGGUUCUCCCCGAAAGCUAUUUAGGUAGCGCCUCGUGAAUUCAUCUCCGGGGGUAGAGCACUGUUUCGGCUAGGGGGCCAUCCCGGCUUACCAACCCGAUGCAAACUGCGAAUACCGGAGAAUGUUAUCACGGGAGACACACGGCGGGUGCUAACGUCCGUCGUGAAGAGGGAAACAACCCAGACCGCCAGCUAAGGUCCCAAAGUCAUGGUUAAGUGGGAAACGAUGUGGGAAGGCCCAGACAGCCAGGAUGUUGGCUUAGAAGCAGCCAUCAUUUAAAGAAAGCGUAAUAGCUCACUGGUCGAGUCGGCCUGCGCGGAAGAUGUAACGGGGCUAAACCAUGCACCGAAGCUGCGGCAGCGACGCUGAUGCGUUGUUGGGUAGGGGAGCGUUCUGUAAGCCUGUGAAGGUGUGUCGUGAGGCAUGCUGGAGGUAUCAGAAGUGCGAAUGCUGACAUAAGUAACGAUAAAGCGGGUGAAAAGCCCGCUCGCCGGAAGACCAAGGGUUCCUGUCCAACGUUAAUCGGGGCAGGGUGAGUCGACCCCUAAGGCGAGGCCGAAAGGCGUAGUCGAUGGGAAACGGGUUAAUAUUCCCGUACUUGGUGUUACUGCGAAGGGGGGACGGAGAAGGCUAUGUUGGCCGGGCGACGGUUGUCCCGGUUUAAGCGUGUAGGUGUGUGUUCCAGGUAAAUCCGGUUCACUUUAACACUGAGGCGUGAUGACGAGGCACUACGGUGCUGAAGCAACAAAUGCCCUGCUUCCAGGAAAAGCCUCUAAGCAUCAGGUAACAUCAAAUCGUACCCCAAACCGACACAGGUGGUCAGGUAGAGAAUACCAAGGCGCUUGAGAGAACUCGGGUGAAGGAACUAGGCAAAAUGGUGCCGUAACUUCGGGAGAAGGCACGCUGACAUGUAGGUGAAGUGAUUUACUCACGGAGCUGAAGUCAGUCGAAGAUACCAGCUGGCUGCAACUGUUUAUUAAAAACACAGCACUGUGCAAACACGAAAGUGGACGUAUACGGUGUGACGCCUGCCCGGUGCCGGAAGGUUAAUUGAUGGGGUCAGCGCAAGCGAAGCUCCUGAUCGAAGCCCCGGUAAACGGCGGCCGUAACUAUAACGGUCCUAAGGUAGCGAAAUUCCUUGUCGGGUAAGUUCCGACCUGCACGAAUGGCGUAAUGAUGGCCAGGCUGUCUCCACCCGAGACUCAGUGAAAUUGAACUCGCUGUGAAGAUGCAGUGUACCCGCGGCAAGACGGAAAGACCCCGUGAACCUUUACUAUAGCUUGACACUGAACAUUGAGCCUUGAUGUGUAGGAUAGGUGGGAGGCUUUGAAGUGUGGACGCCAGUCUGCAUGGAGCCGACCUUGAAAUACCACCCUUUAAUGUUUGAUGUUCUAACGUGGACCCGUAAUCCGGGUUGCGGACAGUGUCUGGUGGGUAGUUUGACUGGGGCGGUCUCCUCCUAAAGAGUAACGGAGGAGCACGAAGGUUGGCUAAUCCUGGUCGGACAUCAGGAGGUUAGUGCAAUGGCAUAAGCCAGCUUGACUGCGAGCGUGACGGCGCGAGCAGGUGCGAAAGCAGGUCAUAGUGAUCCGGUGGUUCUGAAUGGAAGGGCCAUCGCUCAACGGAUAAAAGGUACUCCGGGGAUAACAGGCUGAUACCGCCCAAGAGUUCAUAUCGACGGCGGUGUUUGGCACCUCGAUGUCGGCUCAUCACAUCCUGGGGCUGAAGUAGGUCCCAAGGGUAUGGCUGUUCGCCAUUUAAAGUGGUACGCGAGCUGGGUUUAGAACGUCGUGAGACAGUUCGGUCCCUAUCUGCCGUGGGCGCUGGAGAACUGAGGGGGGCUGCUCCUAGUACGAGAGGACCGGAGUGGACGCAUCACUGGUGUUCGGGUUGUCAUGCCAAUGGCACUGCCCGGUAGCUAAAUGCGGAAGAGAUAAGUGCUGAAAGCAUCUAAGCACGAAACUUGCCCCGAGAUGAGUUCUCCCUGAGACUUAGAGUCUCCUGAAGGAACGUUGAAGACGACGACGUUGAUAGGCCGGGUGUGUAAGCGCAGCGAUGCGUUGAGCUAACCGGUACUAAUGAACCGUGAGGCUUAACCUU
rnacentral:rRNA from 1 species